ACCCUGAUUUCCCAACCUCAAGGAAGAGCA
rnacentral:tRNA from 1 species